AGAGUGAGGACAGGCAGCCGGCAUCUCUUUGAGAUGGCUGCCAGCCCCACAGCUGCCAGCCCCACAGCUGCCUCCGCCCCAUGAUCACCCUUUCUACAGACACUCAGAGACUUCGUUCCCUGCCAGACCGCCCAAUGGGGAACUGGAGCUGGCGCCCACAGGGCAAUGCUCUGCCUGCAGCAUCAGCCUCACUGCGUCGGUAGGUUUUUUUCCCAGGGAAUCACCCCCAAAGUGGGUCAGAGCUGCCCGGAUGGACACUUGGGAACACGAGCUCCCACGGCAGCUCCCAGUGACCAGGGAACCCGAUCUGAGACUGCAGGAAGGGGUCAUUACCUCCGCACACAGCCUGAGUGACAACAACCCAGGUACCGCACCCAGCUCUGCUGCUCCUGAUAUGGUGAGAAUGUUGAAUGAGUGGGCAUAGGAAACAGAAAGGAAGGAAGAAAACAGAAAGCUCCAACAACUACAAAGACAAACCAGGAAAAAGCUGCAGCUUGGGCACACCAUCCUGCCGCCAAAAUGGAAAUUCUGGCCUGAGGCAGUGUGAAGGGGCGGCUUGUCCCCAUGAAGGGACAGGAUGGAGCUAAAGCUCUGUGUCCCGAACGGCAGAGUCCGCUGGAAGCCAGACAAAAGCUUGGGCGUGGGAUUCUGAGCUGUACGCCGGCCUCUGAGAGAAGAGAUGCGUUCCCAGGAGGCACCCGAUCCCAAGGCCGGGCUGGCCGCUGCCCGCUCCCACCGCCGGCCAGCCCUGGGGAGCGCCGCUGCACGCAGCAUCUUCUUUCGCCAGACCGACGGAGGAGAUCCUUCCUGCUUGUGGUUUCCCAGGAACCUGCUGUUCUUCGAUAAACAGGACCCUUGAGCUUCACUUCUGCCUUCGCAAACCAGAGUGCUGUGGAGACUGAGCUGAAGGCACCCCAGAGGCUACGAGCUUACUAAGAGGCACCUCCAGUGAACAUUUUUAAGGAUGUGCCAAUGUAUGAUAGUCAAAACAUUGCAUGGCAGCAGGAUGGUAACACCCAAAAUACAGAGGAAUGGCAUGUUCCGGCAAGUAGGCUGACCUCAGGCACUGCCACACUAAGUCAUUAGCCUAAUCAUCUGUUAACAACAGGUCAGCCAGAGAAUUUCUACUCAGCACUCCAGCCUUGGCUGCCAUGAUUCAUGUGUGCCUGAAGCAUCUUCCAAGCAGACAUUUGAUCUAGAUGCAGAGGAUGGAAAACUCACCGAUCCCUUUGGAAGUGUACCCCAGUGGUUACCUCCCUCAAAUAAAACCACCUUUGACUUA